AAAGAGAUGGGUGUUAUGUUCACACACACACACACACACACUCUCUCUCUCUCUCUCUCUCUCUCUCUCUCUUUCUCUCUCCCGAUGCGGCCAAACUUGCCUUAACGCCGCCGCCACACUACUGUUAUCAGAAUCGCCGCCUUCUUCACAACUACUUCAAUCACUCCCCUCUUCUACAACAGCACCGUAGUCUGCAUCAGCCACUCUCUUCCGUGUUCACCCCUCGAUGGUGCCGCUAUUUCGAUACCGUCGCAUCUAGAUCUAAAUCUAGAUCCACCACCACCGCCGGUCGUGAGAUCCAUAGCUCUCACACACUCCUCCUCUGCUACAGCAUACAGAGAAUUUUCACUGCUGCCGCCUCAAAGAAUCUUUUGCCGAACAGAGAUUUGUAGACUAGCAAUUGUUCAAGUUCAUCGGUGAUGGUGGUGGACUGAUCUUCACUGACGACCAUCGACCACCUCUCCUUGCGACGACCACUACCAUUGCAACCCCGAAAAUGGCUGAAACGAAGAACAACACCGUUGAUUCUAUCAGGAAAUGGGUCGUUGAUCACAAGCUUCGCACUGUUGGGUUGGUUGUUAUCUUGGGUCUGGUUAUGGCACGGAAUCACCAUCCCAACCUAGGGAAUCUUUUGUGGAAGCUUGACGAUUCAGAUUGCUGCAUCUGUCAAGCCUAGAAGCAAAUCGACAUUGUUUUGGAAAUUCCAUUGGUAAAGGGGAAAAAAAAGGUUUGGCUUGGUAUUGAGGGUCUCAUUUCAGUGUAGUUGAAAGGAGUGGAUAAGGCAGUUCACAAUCUGUAUUAUAUUUGUAUUUUUAGCUAAUAAUGCUUUAUUUGUUGUUGUUGAAUAAUUUUAUUUUAUUUUUUCAAUUUCAUUUUGGUUUCAAAUUUCCCUGUAAACUCUUAAUCACGCAUAUACAGGUAUGUGUUUAGAUCAUCACCAAUCUCUCAAUUACUAUUACUUUAUCUCACUUUCCUUUAUUUUCUAGCUAAAUUUGUAGAUUCGUGAACAGGAAACUUGUGUGUUUGAUUUUUGGGGGUUUUUGAGGUUUUUUUUUUUUUGGAGGAAUUUGUGUUGCAAAUCUGGUUGCAAAUUGAGGGUAAUGCAGACCAAGUACAUGGAGAGGCCGAACUCUAUGAGUAGAGGGAAGCAGAAUUUGGAGGGUGGUGACGAUGACCAACCGUGGCGAAAGCGACUGGCUUUAGUUAGGUGUUGGUGAUAUGCCUCCGCCAAGGACUUAGCUUGGGAGGAUUGUGGAGCUGAAAGCUCACUUUUGUUUGGUUUGUAUUUACCUUUUUUUACACGCCUAGGGCUUUUUUUGUACUGAGCUUACUCAUUUUGUUGUAACCAAGCACGGUCUUGGAAAGAUGUAAGCCAUUAGGGCAUAUGUUUAUCUGUUUAGCUUUCAUUUCUUAUUACCUCUUGUAACACAUGUUCUAGAUUCAUGAUGAACAAUUUAUGAAUGUAUAUCGCAUAUGUCACCUUUUGUAUAUUAACUCUGAUUAAUAAAAGCUUCUGAUGUUAUUUAUAUCAUAUUGUACUAGUGUUUGGAGUUAGUUUAUCGUAAUUCUUUUGGGGGCGUUACACUUCUUCCCACAACAACCUCAUCUUUUGUAGGUAAUUCUACUUCCAACAUGGGUUUAUAUACUAUUUGCAGAU